rnacentral:ncRNA from 1 species
UAACGACAACGGGGGGCUGGCGCACGCCGGCUGAGAUUGGGCCCAGGAGAGCGGACGCGCGUCCGAGGGCGGCCCUGACCCAGGAACCUGAUCCGGGUAAUGCCGGCGUAGGGAAGAGCUUCGCGCGCAAC